CACCGCCUCAGGUACAUCUUGAGAUAGAUUGUUUCCAGCUACCACCAGUACCACCGCCUCAAUAGAAUUGCCUUCGCCCCUCCUUCUCUAAUCGAUCGACACUUCUCUCUAGAAAUUGAUUUAAUGGCCGAUCUACAAUCGGACGCACCCUCCGACUGGAAGAAUCCAAAGCCAGUUACCUUCAUGAAAUAAUCUUGUCGGUUCUGCCCUCAUGUAGGCGACGCGACACCUCUAUCUUCAAACCCUCCACCUUCGUUAGAUACUCUGAUGUAAGUUUCAAUCUCGAUUUCUACUUUGAUUUCUACUAUCCGAUUACGCUUUCAUGUUUGAUGGCCUGAUACGUUAGCGAAUUGGGCUAAACCCCAUGGAAGCAUAGAGAAUAGGGCAUAAACAAGUACGUGCCAUUUAAUCGACGUUCAUAAUCAGGAGCUAAGAAGAGCAAAAGGGUAUGCGCCAUUUAAUCGAAGCACCUCGAGUAGGAAAUUGCUAAAUUGGUAAAUCCGAUCAAAAAUCUUGAAAAACGCAUGAUGUAUAGACUGAGGAGCCCUCUAAGGCUCUUUUCAAUCGAUUUUCGACUCAAUUGAUCACCUUCAGUCCUUCUUAGUAUUGUGAUUUUCGAUUUUUAUGAGUUGUAAGCUGGACCUCAAUUUCCAAUAACCUGUUAUUGUAUUCUGAGUUGUUUUUUUUUUUUUUUUUUUGAAGCACACCUCUAAGGGCAUCAAAAGUGAGAAGCUUUUGAGUUUUUUUGUUCUUUUAUUUCUCUUCUGAUUCAAAUUCAUCUCUAAACCUACUGUCAUCAAUCAUCAUCUCUUCAUCUGUUCUUUUUGGUUUGUUAUAGGAUGAUUGUUUCCUAUUAGGGCUCCACUAUUGUAGAAAGGAUUUGUGACCUGUUGGAGUUCGAUAAGGUCUUGAAGUCCAGUUUCUCAUUCUAUUUCUCGAGGAUAGCUUAAGAGAUCCUAACCGGGAAGGUGUUGAUGAUAAUCACCUGAGACAACUUAUUAGGCCUGCAAUGCAUUUUAUCAUCUCUUAUGCACAAUUUUUUUUAUUUUUUUAUUUUGCAUUUAUUUGUAAAUUUUUGUGAUGACAUGUACGAAUGAUAUAUAUUCUGGUGAAGAGAAAGAAAGGGUCUCAUGCUAGAAUGUUUGACAUUACAAAGACACCAGAGCAAUUAUACAUAUUAGUGGUACUUGCAAAUUGGAAUGCACGGGGACAGGAGGGAUAUCAUCGAAGUUCAGGGAUAUGCCUAUCCAUUCUAAAUAUGCUUGGGCAGAGGUACUUUUAUUACUGCAUGCAUUAAGAUCUAUCCAAACCUAGUCAACAAAUCUAGGUUGCUAUUUCUUUGAUUGAGCUAUACCAGUCUGGGAACAAAAAAACAUCAAAAGAAAAGCUUCUUUCAAGCGAUUUGUGGCUGCCCGGACUGAAAGGUUCAAUCACUCAUUCUUAACUACAUCAAUUCUUCUUUUUUGUUAAUUUUAGUUGGACAUAAGAUGAGUGUUCAAAUUCCUGAAUUUAUUCAAUUUAAGGAAAGAUAUCGAUAGUGGUUUCUGGGAACAUCUACAAACUGAUUGCAGUCUUAAGGUACACAUAUGAUUCAUGUACCUACUGCCAUCUACCCUAUUUAUUGAUGGAAUUCUUUAUUUUUUAUCACAUAAUAGUUUGUUUUGUAGUAAAGCAUGUAGACUUGAUUCCACUUUUACAUCUCCACAUGCAUUUCUUAUUCUUCUUUUGAGCUUAUCUAUUAUGUAUUUUAUGCGCACUCCCUGUUUGAGUAAGACCUUGAACCAAAAAUAUAUAUCAGUGUAGUUAGUAAGGUAUAGUUUUUUUGUUUAGGUAAAUGGAUGAAUGUGAGGACAUUAUACAAUGAGCACAAGGUUUCUUGGAUUGGCCAGAUAUGUUGGAUUCUACUUUACAUAUAAACUUCACAUCUUUUAGGUUUCUCCUGAAUUAUGAGAUAGGAUGAAAUAUAUAUCAUUUCUUCUUUGAUUCUUGACUAUGGAAUGUGAUUAUGUUUGAUUAGGGAUUAACUUUGAGUCUUGAUGAAAAAUUGUAAGAAAAUGGCUAUACAUUUAUUUAUUUACCGACAUGGCUACUUCUGUCUAUAUAGUUUCAUUUGGUCGCAUCCAUUGUUCCUAAUAAAUUCAGUAAUACUCGUGUUAAAUUUUAGUCCUAUGUGAAAGAUACAUAUAAUUGAUCACUUUUCUCUAUAUUGAUGAAAAAAUAGUUGAGAACACCUACUUGUGAUUGAUAGUUGUGAUUAACUAUCCCUUGCUAUAUAUAUAAAAAAAAGCUUCAGACCUAUUUACAAUUUAGGGAUUUUGGUUGAUGUAAAGUAUAUAUUUUAUCGUAAAAUUGAGGUGGGCUUGGUUUUAAUUCAUCAAAGAAUACAAUGGAAUUAAGAGCACUUGUUGUAGGGUUAAGCAUUCCUUCAAGAGCAUUGGCUUCGUGAUAGGAUUCUUCUACUAGAAUUGGAUUUUACAUGAUUCCAACUAACAGGAAAUUGUUCUUUAGAUUAGGAGGUAACAUACUGAUUAAUAUAUACAUACCCAUUUCGACUUUUAUGGGUUAUAAACAUGAUUUAUCCUUUUUUAUGUUCUAACGUCUACAAAUGUCAUCAUUAGUUGAACUUUUCUAGAUUCAUGUAUUUCUUAUUGAUUUUGAUAAGGUUACUAAUAGUAAUAUCCUUUUUUAUU